GACAGAGGGUGCAAACGUUGUUCGGAAUUACUGGGCGUAAAGCGCGUGUAGGCGGCUACGCAAGUCGGAUGUGAAAUCCCGUGGCUCAACCACGGAAGUGCACCCGAAACUGCGCAGCUGGAGUCUCGGAGAGGAAGGUGGAAUGCUUGGUGUAGAGGUGAAAUUCGUAGAUAUCAAGCGGAACACCGGUGGCGAAGGCGGCCUUCUGGACGAUGACUGACGCUGAGACGCGAAAGCGUGGGGAGCAAACAGG
rnacentral:rRNA from 1 species